CAGUCGCCGCGGUAAUACGGAGGAUCCGAGCGUUAUCCGGAAUUAUUGGGUUUAAAGGGUGCGUAGGCGGAUAGAUAAGUCAGUGGUGAAAGACGGUGGCUCAACCAUCGCAGUGCCGUUGAUACUGUUUAUCUUGAAUAUGGAUGAGGUAGGCGGAAUGUGGCAAGUAGCGGUGAAAUGCAUAGAUAUGCCACAGAACACCGAUUGCGAAGGCAGCUUACCAAGGCAAAAUUGACGCUGAGGCACGAAAGCGUGGGGAUCGAACAGGAUUAGAUACCCCAGUAGUCCCUGUCUCUUAUAC
rnacentral:rRNA from 1 species